rnacentral:rRNA from 1 species
CUACGGGUUGCACCAGUGAGGAAUAUUGCGCAAUGGGCGAAAGCCUGACGCAGCAACGCCGCGUGUGGGAAGAAGCUUCUAGGAGUGUAAACCACUGUUAGGAGGGACGAAUGACUGGUGUUCGAAUAGGGCAUCAGAGUGACGGUACCUCCAGAGAAAGCCCCGGCUAACUCCGUGCCAGCAGCCGCGGUAACACGGGGGGGGCAAGCGUUGUCCGGAAUUAUUGGGCGUAAAGGGCGCGUAGGCGGGAUGAUCAGUUUGAAGUGAAAGCUUGUGGCUUAACCAUAAGUCUGCUUUGAAUACUGUCAUUCUUGAGUUCGGAAGAGGAGAGCGGAAUUCCUGGUGUAGCGGUGAAGUGCGUAGAUAUCAGGAAGAACACCGGUGGCGAAGGCGGCUCUCUGGUCCGCAACUGACGCUGAGGCGCGAAAGUGUGGGUAGCGAACAGGAUUAGAUACCCGGGUAGUC